rnacentral:rRNA from 1 species
AAUGUAUAGCAAUAGCUACUUGCAUCAUUGUAAAUAUGAUGCAAGAUCGACUAUGUCGAAUAAAAUUCUAGGUAGAAUUAUGAUAAUGACAUUGUCUGCCUAUGUGUCUUGACCAAAUUACGUGCCAGCAGUCGCGGUAAUACGUAGAAGACUAGUGUUAUUCAUGUUUAAUCGGUUUAAAGGGUACCUAGACGGUAAAUCAAGCCUAAAAGGAAAUAAAUGAAGGGACUAAUUUACUAGAGUUACUUAUGAGGGGGUAUUAAAGUACUGCUGGUGUAGAGAUGAAAUUCUGUCAUACCUCUUUUCAAUAGAAAAAUAAUGGCACAGGUAUAGGCGAAAGCAUCCCCUUAUGUGAUAACUGACGUUGAGGGACGAAGGCUUUGUGUAGCGAACAGGAUUAGAUACCCCAGUAGUCAAAGCAGAAAAUGAUGAAUGUCAUAGAUUAGAUAUAUAAGUUUAUUCUAUAAAUGAAAGUGUAAGCAUUCCACCUCAAGAGUAAUUUGGCAACAUUGGAACUGAAAUCAUUAGACCGUUUCUGAAACCAGUAGUGAAGUAUGUUGUUUAAUUUGAUGAUCCGCAAAAAACCUUACCACAAUUUGAAUAUUUAUAUCUUUUAUUGUUUUUUUUUACUUUAUUCUAAUUUUCUACUUAAAAGAAAACAAGAAAAAAGAGGCAAGAAGAUAUAUUUACAAGCGUUGCACGGCUGUCUUCAGUUAAUGUCGCGAGACUAUGGUUAGUUCCAUUAAAUUAACGUAAACCCUUACUUUAUUUUUAUAUAGAGUAGUUCCCCGCUAUAUUGGAUAUGAUAACAGG